rnacentral:tRNA from 1 species
AGAGUUGUGCCUGAAUAAUAGGGUUACUUUGAUAGAGUAAAUCAUGAGGGUUAAAAUCCUUCCAACUCUU